rnacentral:rRNA from 1 species
AUUGAACGCUGGCGGCAGGCCUAACACAUGCAAGUCGAGCGGAUGAAGGGAGCUUGCUCCUGGAUUCAGCGGCGGACGGGUGAGUAAUGCCUAGGAAUCUGCCUGGUAGUGGGGGAUAACGUCCGGAAACGGGCGCUAAUACCGCAUACGUCCUGAGGGAGAAAGUGGGGGAUCUUCGGACCUCACGCUAUCAGAUGAGCCCAGGUCGGAUUAGCUAGUUGGUGGGGUAAAGGCCUACCAAGGCGACGAUCCGUAACUGGUCUGAGAGGAUGAUCAGUCACACUGGAACUGAGACACGGUCCAGACUCCUAAGGGAGGCAGCAGUGGGGAAUAUUGGACAAUGGGCGAAAGCCUGAUCCAGCCAUGCCGCGUGUGUGAAGAAGGUCUUCGGAUUGUAAAGCACUUUAAGUUGGGAGGAAGGGCAGUAAGUUAAUACCUUGCUGUUUUGACGUUACCAACAGAAUAAGCACCGGCUAACUUCGUG